AUGGAUUUGGAAAAAAGUUCAUCGAUCUUGAAGAAAAAGUUCAUGAUUUUUUUAAGAAUCCGCACAUUUAAGAAGGAAAUGUAUAGUCCUGGGUCAAUGGGCUUUCCAUCUACGUGCCUUUUUUUCCUUUUGAGAAAGGAGUCUUACAUGCGCAGCUUCGCAGCGUGCCAGCUAAUUGAUGGGCGUGACCACCUGUGCUAUCGGAUAAUUGUGGACCAGGGGAGGGGCCCUCCAUGUUGGGGACCCGGGGCGGCCAGCCCUGCGCAUAUAUUAUUUGUUACUCGUUUAUUGUUAAUUUACUUCUCGUUCUUUGUUAUAAGUUACUCUCGUUAG
rnacentral:rRNA from 1 species